rnacentral:rRNA from 1 species
UACGGGGGGGGCAAGCGUUGUUCGGAAUUACUGGGCGUAAAGGGCGCGUAGGCGGUUUGCUAAGUUGAAUGUGAAAACUCUGGGCUUAACCCAGAGCCUGCAUUCAAUACUGGCAGGCUAGAGUUCUGGAGGGGAUAGCGGAAUUCCUGGUGUAGCGGUGAAAUGCGCAGAUAUCAGGAGGAACACCAAUGGCGAAGGCAGCUCGCUGGAACGGUACUGACGCUGUGGCGCGAAAGCGUGGGGAGCAAACAGG